UCGAUUCCCUUAGUAGCGGCGAGCGAAACGGGAAGAGCCCAAACCAAAAAGCUUGCUUGUUGGGGUUGUAGGACACUCUAUACGGAGUUACAAAGGACGACAUUAGACGAAUCAUCUGGAAAGAUGAAUCAAAGAAGGUAAUAAUCCUGUAGUCGAAAAUGUUGUCUCUCUUGAGUGGAUCCUGAGUACGACGGAGCACGUGAAAUUCCGUCGGAAUCUGGGAGGACCAUCUCCUAAGGCUAAAUACUCUCUAGUGACCGAUAGUGAACCAGUACCGUGAGGGAAAGGUGAAAAGCACCCCGGAAGGGGAGUGAAAUAGAACCUGAAACCGUGUGCUUACAAGUAGUCAGAGCCCGUUAAUGGGUGAUGGCGUGCCUUUUGUAGAAUGAACCGGCGAGUUACGAUUUGAUGCAAGGUUAAGCAGUAAAUGUGGAGCCGUAGCGAAAGCGAGUCUGAAUAGGGCGUUUAGUAUUUGGUCGUAGACCCGAAACCAGGUGAUCUACCCUUGGUCAGGUUGAAGUUCAGGUAACACUGAAUGGAGGACCGAACCGACUUACGUUGAAAAGUGAGCGGAUGAACUGAGGGUAGCGGAGAAAUUCCAAUCGAACCUGGAGAUAGCUGGUUCUCUCCGAAAUAGCUUUAGGGCUAGCCUCAAGUGAUGAUUAUUGGAGGUAGAGCACUGUUUGGACGAGGGGCCCCUCUCGGGUUACCGAAUUCAGACAAACUCCGAAUGCCAAUUAAUUUAACUUGGGAGUCAGAACAUGGGUGAUAAGGUCCGUGUUCGAAAGGGAAACAGCCCAGACCACCAGCUAAGGUCCCAAAAUAUAUGUUAAGUGGAAAAGGAUGUGGCGUUGCCCAGACAACUAGGAUGUUGGCUUAGAAGCAGCCAUCAUUUAAAGAGUGCGUAAUAGCUCACUAGUCGAGUGACACUGCGCCGAAAAUGUACCGGGGCUAAACAUAUUACCGAAGCUGUGGAUUGUCCUUUGGACAAUGGUAGGAGAGCGUUCUAAGGGCGUUGAAGCAUGAUCGUAAGGACAUGUGGAGCGCUUAGAAGUGAGAAUGCCGGUGUGAGUAGCGAAAGACGGGUGAGAAUCCCGUCCACCGAUUGACUAAGGUUUCCAGAGGAAGGCUCGUCCGCUCUGGGUUAGUCGGGUCCUAAGCUGAGGCCGACAGGCGUAGGCGAUGGAUAACAGGUUGAUAUUCCUGUACCACCUAUAAUCGUUUUAAUCGAUGGGGGGACGCAGUAGGAUAGGCGAAGCGUGCGAUUGGAUUGCACGUCUAAGCAGUAAGGCUGAGUAUUAGGCAAAUCCGGUACUCGUUAAGGCUGAGC
rnacentral:rRNA from 1 species